AUUAUCUAGAUAAUGAAUAAAAUUUUUUAUAAAAAAUUCAACCGAUUUCGAUUCUUUUAUACCGUUAAAUUAGCAAUAUCUCAUACCUGCCGUUAAAAAUUAUAAAUUUUGAGAUCUUUUAAUUGGAAGAUAAAUGAUAUCAAAAAAUUAUAAAAUUCAAUUUCUAAAACUUUUAAAUGCUUAAGAUAAUAUUUAACAGUAUGGAUCAUUGAUUCGGAAGUUCUAUUAUGGA
rnacentral:lncRNA from 1 species